UUCAUUCCCUCUCCCUCACUCGUCUCUCCCCCGCAUCUCCACUCCAACCGCAUCGAUCGCACCACGCACCCCUCCCUCCCUCCCAUCUCCCCUCCCUGCACCCAGCGCCUGUGACCGCGCGCGGCAACGAGGUGGGCACGGCAGCGACCGUUGGAGGGAUCCUCUCCUACGCCUCUCUCUCUCUCUUUCACGAGUCACCAACAAAGGAGCGGCGGCGGCGGGCCGGCGGCCGGCGGCGCGCGUCGAGCACGAAGGAGGCCAGGACCAAGCGGCAGGCCGGCGACCAGCGCCACCUCUGUCUUCUUCGCUGCCGAUUCCUCCCCAGAGAUGUUGUCGUAUGUCGUGUACAAGGGUGAGGUUCCCGGA